UCCGCCGAGUGUCCGGCUUAGCAUUUUGGGAAGAAAGCAUUUGGGAAGUAUAUAAGCCAGUAUUACAGUAGUGUGUACACAUAUCUAAAUUGAAAAUGGGAAUCGCAAGUAAGGCGGGGGACUGGGUGUUCAAGAUCUUCACGGUUGGGCUAGGCGGCGCCACCAUUUUCUUCGCCGCCAAUCUCUCCUUGAACGUCUACCGUGGAAAGAAAUGGAAUACUGCCCAACUGAAGAGUGAAGAAAAGCCAGAAUAACCUGCGGUGGUUUCCAAGUCCUGUACGAUAUAUGUAGAACGUUAACAAAGUUGGAUGAGAUUGUGCAAUAACUUCCUAGCUACAGCUAGCUUCAUUUGAAUUUGAAUAUGAUUAAGCAGUACAAAUGUCUGACUGCAACAAAUGUGGGUUUACUGCUAGCUUCGUUUUGUUCAUCUUGUAUUCUAGUACAAAAGUUGGUGUUGCUGAUUGCAAUAAAGAAGCAGAAUUUUUAAGAUU